rnacentral:tRNA from 1 species
GUAAGCAUAGUUUAAACAAAACAUUAGGCUGUGGCUCUAAACAUAGAAGUUAAACCCUUCUUGCGAACCG